UAAAGAGUUCUUUGUUGUUCAAAAUGUAUAUUUCCGUAACUCUUUGCAUUUUUUUUUUUGCUGCUAGAUAUAAAAACCUCACAAUACUGAUCAUGAUUUGCAGGGAAAUUCUUUGUAAGUGCAUCCAGUGAUCAAAGCAUCUCAAUGUUCAACUUAAAAAUGCUUAAAGUAGCAAUGAAACAACUGUUCAUUGUGAAACGAACAAAUAAUUUAUGGAACUUAGAAUCCAGUGUUUGGAAUGGAUUAUGGCUAAUAGGAUUCAAGGCUGUAGCUACACUUGAUUGUCAGGAGUUGCCUUACUUCAAGGGAGGAGUUUCUUUGGAGGAAUUGGUCUUUUCACUUGAGCACAAGAAGGUAAAGUUCAGAGAAUGUCUAAAAUAGUGUGAAAAGACUAUUGUAGAACCAAUUUAAGCUUCCAUGUUUGCUGUAUCUGUAGCAAACAGGAGUAUAUUUACUUGAACAGCUUUUCAGAAAAUUGCACAGUUUCUAGUCAGAAUGGAGAGGUGGGUUUGUUUCUUUUAAGUUUUUUGGCAGUAUGAUCUUUUUUUUUCUUUUCCCUGAGAGAAGGGGUCUCUUCAUUUAAAUGGAAGCUAUGCACUUGCAUAGUUUAUCACUUAAAACUUGCAUUUUGGGUAUGUUAUUGCUCAGAUGCUUGAAAGUCAUCCUUGCAUCUACCAGCCUACCCCAAGUCUGUUUCUUACUCUGACUGUAUUUUGCUAUAAUAAUCCUGUAAUUUUUUUAAAGAACAUAAAUGUUGGAGAUGACUUCAUUGCUUUAUGUACACCAGACUAAUGGCUAAAGAUAUCAGUGUUUGUGGCAAUUAACUUUUAAUUAGGGUCCCUAAGUUUUACAGAGCAAAAUGGUAUAAACAAGAAUCAGAUGAACCCUCUUGGAGUGGAUCACUUGUUUUCAUCUUGGAAGAAAUUCUGUAUUGAACUUUGUUAGUUUAUUCCCUCGCAGUGGGAAAAGCCUGCUGUAUUGUAAGGGCAAUACAGGACAGAUGAACUCACAAGCUACCUAUGAUGUGUCAUUUUAACCUACCGUUGGAAAACAAGGACACUGAAGAUGAACUGCAAAAACAGGCAGGAGUGGCUCUGGUACUUAGAUCUCAGCAAGACAACUCUACCACUGCAAAUGUAUUCUAUUUUUCUAGUUGAGGACUUUUUUUAAACUUAUUUCUGUAUUUGACACAUUAGUGUUCGGCCAACAUUGUUACCAUCCAUUUUACUUUGCUUUCAUUAUUGUUUUAAUUUAAUAUAUUUGAGUCUAAGUCCACAUAGAUUGUUUUGCAAUAACUAGAAUGAUUCACUUUUAUUUAGAUUUAAUUUCUUAACAGAAUUUAAUCAAAGAUGCAAAAUGGCUAUUAAGUAAGGGACCAUUAAAUGUGAUUUUAAGCUUCUGUUUACUAUUAUGGAUGUAAUCCUUACAGUAAAUUUAAUUUUGUAAAGUAGUGUAUAAUAUUGUAAUAUUAAAUCUUUGCUUUCUGAACUAGGACAUUUGAUCUUCAGUAUGAAGUUAUAAAUCUUCCCCAUUUUGAAUUUGAGACAGG
rnacentral:lncRNA from 1 species